GAAUUCGCCCUUAGAGUUUGAUCUGGCUCAGGACGAACGCUGGCGGCGCGCCUAACACAUGCAAGUCGAACGAGCGGAGACCCUUCGGGGUCGAAGUUAGUGGCGGACGGGUGAGUAACACGUGAGGAACCUGCCUUACAGAGAGGGAUACCGUUUGGAAACGAACGUUAAUACCUCAUGAAGUAUCGAGAUCGCAUGGUCUUGGUACCAAAGAUUUAUCGCUGUAAGAUGGCCUCGCGUCUGAUUAGAUAGUUGGUGAGGUAACGGCCCACCAAGUCGACGAUCAGUAGCCGGACUGAGAGGUUGAUCGGCCACAUUGGGACUGAGACACGGCCCAGACUCCUACGGGAGGCAGCAGUGGGGGAUAUUGCACAAUGGGCGAAAGCCUGAUGCAGCGACGCCGCGUGAGGGAAGACGGUUUUCGGAUUGUAAACCUCUGUCUUCGGGGACGAAAAUGACGGUACCCGAGGAGGAAGCCACGGCUAACUACGUGCCAGCAGCCGCGGUAAUACGUAGGUGGCAAGCGUUGUCCGGAAUUACUGGGUGUAAAGGGAGAGUAGGCGGGAUUGCAAGUCCGUUGUUAAAUCUAUCGGCUUAACCGGUAGCUGCGGCGGAAACUGUAGUUCUUGAGUGAAGUAGAGGCAGGCGGAAUUCCUAGUGUAGCGGUGAAAUGCGUAGAUAUUAGGAGGAACACCAGUGGCGAAGGCGGCCUGCUGGGCUUUAACUGACGCUGAGGCUCGAAAGUGUGGGGAGCAAACAGGAUUAGAUACCCUGGUAGUCCACGCUGUAAACGAUGAAUACUUAGGUGUGCGGGGACUGACCCCCUGCGUGCCGCAGCUAACGCAAUAAGUAUUCCACCUGGGGAGUACGAUCGCAAGGUUGAAACUCAAAGGAAUUGACGGGGGCCCGCACAAGCGGUGGAUUAUGUGGUUUAAUUCGAAGCAACGCGAAGAACCUUACCAGGGCUUGACAUCCUACUAACGAAGUAGAGAUACAUCAGGUGCCCUUCGGGGAAAGUAGAGACAGGUGGUGCAUGGUUGUCGUCAGCUCGUGCCGUGAGGUGUUAGGUUAAGUCCUGCAACGAGCGCAACCCUUACCUCCAGUUACCAGCACGUCAAGGUGGGGACUCUGGAGGAACUGCCUACGCAAGUAGAGAGGAAGGUGGGGAUGACGUCAAAUCAGCACGGCCCUUAUGUCCGGGGCUACACACGUGCUACAAUGGCGCGCACAGAAGGCAGCGACCCUGCGAGGGGGAGCGAAUCCCGAAAGCGCGUCUCAGUUCGGAUCGGAGUCUGCAACCCGACUCUGUGAAGUUGGAUUCGCUAGUAAUCGCGCAUCAGCCAUGACGCGGUGAAUACGUUCCCGGGCCUUGCACACACCGCCCGUCA
rnacentral:rRNA from 1 species